UGAUUUUUGAGAUCUAAAAUCGUCUUUUUAUUUUGUUUUAUUGUGGAUAAUUCAUUUACAUAUGCUUUCCAGCCCUUAUCUUAUUUGUAAAAAAAGUUCCUGUGUGGCAUUUUGGCCGGGGUCCGUUUGGGGCCUGGCGCGAAACACAUGUAAAAAGUGAGGAAAUGUCUACCGGUAUAUUGGAUGAAAAACAGCAAGAUAAUUCACCUGAGAACGAGGAUUUUAAGGCCCCUGCUUGCUUGAAGUUCUUCGAAAAGUGGAGGUUUUGCUCUUCAUCCUCCAACCAGUUCCACCAGUACUACAUCUAUGGCAAGUUCAAGGAUUGUUCAGUGUACAAAGAUGACAUGCAGAACUGUGUCGUGUAUAAAACCACAAAGUCCGAAACUUCUAAGCAGGCAUUAAUUGAGGCAAUGCGGCGAGAUGAAAUCAAGUUCACUUCAGCUGAUAUUUGGGAGAGACGUGAAAACCCUUCUGAAUAUUGGAACAGCCACUGAAAUGACAAUGGACUCUACCCAGGGAAUUACCAAGAUUAGGGAGCCAUAAAAAGGAGUGACACAUGACAGUGACAAGAAACAGGAGCUUGCAUACCUUAUUCCAAGAAACAGGAGCUUGCAUACCUUAUUCCAAGAAACAGGAGCUUGCAUACCUUACUCCAAGAAACAGGAGCUUGCAUACCUUAUUCCAAGAAACAGGAGCUUGCAUACCUUAUUCCAAGAAACAGGAGCUUGCAUACCUUAUUCCAAGAAACAGGAGCUUGCAUACCUUAUUCCAAGAAACAGGAGCUUGCAUACCUUAUUCCAAGAAACAAAAGCUUGCAUACCUUAUUCCAAGAAACAGGAGCUUGCAUACCUUAUUCCAAGAAACAGGAGCUUGCAUACCUUACUCCAAGAAACAGGAGCUUGCAUACCUUACUCCAAGAAACAAAAGCUUGCAUACCUUAUUCCAAGAAACAGGAGCUUGCAUACCUUAUUCCAAGAAACAGGAGCUUGCAUACCUUAUUCCAAGAAACAGGAGCUUGCAUACCUUACUCCAAGAAACAGGAGCUUGCAUACCUUAUUCCAAGAAACAGGACCUGAAGCCAGCACCACGCUACGAACAAUAGAAUGAGCAUCUCCGGGAAGGCGAAAAAGAACCAAUCAGCAAACCCGAUUCCAGGGCUCUUGGGGUACAACCUUAAAGAGCGUAAAACAGAGUAUCCUACAGCUUAAUUAAUUCAAGGGGUAAUUGGGUUAGAACUUAGCGAAUGGGGAAAAAAGCGAGGGUCCUACAACGAAGAAAUCAUGUUCAUUUCGGUACGAAGUAGAAUAAUUAAACUGAAUGCUUACGUCGACA